rnacentral:rRNA from 1 species
UACGUAGGGUGCAAGCGUUGUCCGGAAUUAUUGGGCGUAAAGAGCUCGUAGGCGGUCUGUCGCGUCUGCUGUGAAAACUCGGGGCUUAACCCCGGGCCUGCAGUGGGUACGGGCAGACUAGAGUGCGGUAGGGGAGACUGGAAUUCCUGGUGUAGCGGUGAAAUGCGCAGAUAUCAGGAGGAACACCGGUGGCGAAGGCGGGUCUCUGGACAGUUCCUGACGCUGAGGCACGAAGGCCAGGGGAGCGAACGGG